rnacentral:snRNA from 1 species
GGAUGUGAGGGUAAUCUGGCUGUGACACCUGUCACCCCAUUGAUUGCCAGGGUUGAUUUGGCUGAUCUGGCUGGCUAGACCAGAUGUCCCAUUCCUCCCUCAAUGCUCCAUGCUCCUGGAGCUGCAUACUCGUUUGCAGUGGACAACCUCCGCAACAGAUUUUUUGUGUGAAAAG